rnacentral:rRNA from 1 species
GACGAACGCUGGCGGCGUGCUUAACACAUGCAAGUCGAACGGUAAGGCCCUUCGGGGUACACGAGUGGCGAACGGGUGAGUAACGCGUGAGUAACCUGCCCUUCACUCUGGGAUAACAGUUGGAAACGGCUGCUAAUACCGGAUAUUCAGCUCCUGUCGCAUGGUGGGGGUUGGAAAGUUUUGGUGGUGGAGGAUGGGCUCGCGUCCUAUCAGCUUGUUGGUGGGGUGAUGGCCUACCAAGGCGUCGACGGGUAGCCGGCCUGAGAGGGCGACCGGCCACAUUGGGACUGAGAUACGGCCCAAACUCCUACGGGGGGCAGGGGUGGGGAAUAUUGCACAAUGGGCGGAAGCCUGAUGCAGCAACGCCGGGUGCGGGAUGACGGCCUUCGGGUUGUAAACCGCUUUCAGGGGGGACGAAGCGCAAGUGACGGUACCUGCAGAAGAAGCACCGGCUAACUACGU